ACUUUUAACGAGGGAAGGAGACCUGCUGCUGCCCAUCUAAGUACUGGUCUGGAUUCUCUUCAUUCUGAUGGCCUUCUGUCUGUUCCUCAAGGGAAUCCUCCUGAUAGCCAUCAACCUGUUGCAAGGAUAGAUGGCCAGACCUCUGUGAUACCAGGGUUGAGCAGACAAGAUUAUGACCAGUUGAUGAAUUUAUUACAUCAGACCAAGUUAGGGGACUCCACUGCUCAGACUCCUCCUCCCAUAUAUGCUGCAAACUUUGCUGGUACUAUGUUAACUGAGAGCCCUAUUUCUGAUUCCAAACUUUGCUUACUUACUAAUAUUAACUCUGU
rnacentral:lncRNA from 1 species